rnacentral:rRNA from 1 species
CCUACGGGAGGCUGCAGUGGGGAAUAUUGGACAAUGGGCGCAAGCCUGAUCCAGCAAUGCCGCGUGUGUGAAGAAGGCCUUAGGGUUGUAAAGCACUUUCAGCAAUGAAGAAGUUGUAUUGGCUAAUAUCCAAUAUAAUUGACGUUAGUUGCAGAAGAAGUACUGGCUAACUCUGUGCCAGCAGCCGCGGUAAUACAGAGAGUGCAAGCGUUAAUCGGAAUUAUUGGGCGUAAAGGGUGUGUAGGUUGUUAAAUCCCUGGGCGUGAGCUAGGAAUUGCAUAUAAUACUGUUUAUCUAGAGUACUGUAGGGGGGAGUGGAAUUUCCGGUGUAGCGGUGAAAUGCGUAGAUAUCGGAAGGAACACCAGUGGCGAAGGCGACUUCCUGGACAAAUACUGACACUGAGACACGAAAGCGUGGGGAGCAAACAGGAUUAGAUACCCCAGUAGUC